rnacentral:rRNA from 1 species
AAUUGGGAAACGACCGGGGUGUACUAAAGGUCGGUAACCGUAAGGAGCCGACCUAGGGUAAAACUGGUGACUGGGGCU